CAAGAAACCUGAGAGUGAAACCUGAAAGUAGCAGCAGGAACUUAUUCACACAUGGAGGACCUUGUGUGUGCACGAUCCAGGAUCUUCAGCACCACGUAACCCAGAACUGUUCAGCUGCGCCUCCGUAAAACUGAGCGAGCAGACGGAGGUGACAGUAAUGAGGGAAUUUUAUUUUCUACUGAUCCACAAUGACAAACGGUGCAGCAUAAUGAGCUCAAACUGGGGCUCUGUGCACAGCGAUGAGGAGCAUGUGGAGCUCUCUGAGGUGGAGGAGGGUGGAGGAAGAUGAACAGAAAGGUGGUUCUAACCUGAAGCUUCAGUUUCAGCCAGAAGAUCCAGAAUGAUGAACGACAUGUGGAAUGAAUGCUGGUAGGAAAAACAUCCGAUUCUGUUGUUUUAGAUGCAGAAGAGCAGGAAAAACGGUCAGGAGAAACCAACGUCUCAGGGUGGUACCAGUGGAACCAGUUCUGGUGGGUUCUGGUCCCAGCCGGUGAUGCUGACAGCUGGUUCUGGGUGCAGCAGUGACCUCUGCAGUCCACUCGGAUGCAUCAGUGCUCUGCAGAGCAACAUGUGAGAAGACUUCGCAUCAUCAUUGCAUCACGAUGUCAUGAUGACAUCACAGCAGAGUUUCUUACAAAGGUGAGGCUGCGUGCAGGUGGGGAGACGGACCAGAGCAGCAGGGCUUUUAUCAGACAAAUCUUCUUAUUUCACUUCAGUUCCAAGAAAAAAAAGAAACACAAGACUGAGUUCUGAGUGUCUUCAUUCUGCUGCUUUUUAAUAUUUAUGUGUUUGUGUUUAUGAGUGUGUGUGUGUG